UAAUUGCCUUGAUGGUCUCUCAC
rnacentral:piRNA from 1 species